rnacentral:lncRNA from 1 species
UGCUCCUUGCCGGGGUGGGGGUCGUUACCGAGUGGGAACUUCUGCAAAUCCUGACUUUUGUCACUUCGCGCCCCGCACAAGAUGUCCUGCCGGCGGUGCGAUUGGUCCCGUUGCUUCGAGGGGAAACUGAGGCCACUUAGUCCGGGCACUUACCCGCAGCUAGUUAAGGACUAGGCUCUGAUGGAGACGCUUGUUACGACCUCAAUGGCCUGUAGAAUCUGGGAGGCCGCCUCCGACCUAAGCCCAAAAAGCACAUGAUCGGGCUCACAGGGGGCGGCCAGAGGUGAAAACAGCCAACGCUUUACAACGACGCUGUGCGGGGCACUUCGUGUGUGUCAUCCCGUCUCAUCCUCGGGUGAUAGGAACUGUUCAUUCGGGAAAAUUGCAAACAACUAAAUACCCCUCACCAGGAGCUGGCCCAUUAUAGCAACUCUGAGACCUCUCUACCGCAGGCUCUUAAAAUGGGCUUAACAGUGGAUGUAACUGCUUCUUUGCUGUGGCAGAUUGUAUUUUCUGAAGGCCCCAACAGUCUCUCCUGUCCCUCCUCCUCUUCUGAAACCUUGAUACUUCCCUAUGAAGAGGUAGGGUCUAAUACUUCCCUCCUUCAACCUGAAGCCCCGCCUUGGGCUUGUGACUUGCUUGUAACCAGUCAAAUACAGUGGAAGAGUUACUACGUGACUUCCAGGGCUAGGUCAGAAAAGGAUGCAGCCUCAGGGUUCAACACACACUUGGGCCUGGAGCCACCAUGCAAGAAGGCUGCCAUGCUGCGAGGGAGCAAAGGCACGUGGAGGGACAUACACAGGGGCUGUGGCUGGCAGUCCUGGCCUUUGAGUCAUCCUUGUUUAAGUGCCAGGCACACACGUUAACUACCUUUAGGUAAUUCCAUACCUCAGGUGUCAUGUCACCCCAAGCCCUUGAGCCUUCCCAUCUGAAGCCCCAGGCUGUAUGGAGAAGAAACAAGAUGUUCCUGCCACGCUCUUUCUGAACUGCUGACAUACAGAAUCUGUGACCAUAAUAAAAUGGUUGUUUUGUGCCAUU